rfam:Spinacia oleracea cultivar SynViroflay scaffold6213.con0003.1, whole genome shotgun sequence.
GGCCUAGGAUUUACAUAAUUGUCCGUACUAUCUGAAAUUUUGAUGAGUUCUUUAACAAAUUUUCUGAGGCCA